GGAAGGAUACCCAAGUCUGGCUAUAAGGGGAUUAAUAUUUAAUAUUAAUUAGGAGCUUUUUGCUCGCGUUGGUUCGAAUCCUUCUCCUUCCGCUA
rnacentral:tRNA from 1 species